AAUAUUGCGCAAUGGGCGAAAGCCUGACGCAGCAACGCCGCGUGAGGGGAUGACGGCUUUCGGGUUGUAAACCUCUUUCGGCAGGGACGAAACUGACGGUACCUGCAGAAGAAGCCCCGGCCAACUACGUGCCAGCAGCCGCGGUAAUACGUAGGGGGCAAGCGUUGUCCGGAUUUAUUGGGCGUAAAGAGCUCGUAGGCGGUUGCGCAAGUCGGAUGUGAAAACUCAGGGCUCAACCCGGAGACGCCAUCCGAUACUGCGCUGACUAGAGUCCGGUAGGGGAGCAUGGAAUUCUUGGUGUAGCGGUGAAAUGUGCAGAUAUCAGGAGGAACACCUGUAGCGAAGGCGGUGCUCUGGGCCGGCACUGACGCUGAGGAGCGAAAGCGUGGGUAGCAAACAGGAUUAGAUACCCUGGUAGUCCACGCCGUA
rnacentral:rRNA from 1 species